rnacentral:piRNA from 1 species
UGGGAAUCAAAGCUGAGCUCUCUGGGAG